UGCGUAGGUGGCAAGCGUUAUCCGGAUUUACUGGGUGUAAAGGGAGCGCAGGCGGUCUGGCAAGUCUGAUGUGAAAGGCCGGGGCUCAACUCCGGGACUGCAUUGGAAACUGUCAGACUGGAGUGUCGGAGAGGUAAGCGGAAUUCCUAGUGUAGCGGUGAAAUGCGUAGAUAUUAGGAGGAACACCAGUGGCGAAGGCGGCUUACUGGACGAUGACUGACGCUGAGGCUCGAAAGCGUGGGGAGCAAACAGG
rnacentral:rRNA from 1 species